GGAAGGUUUCCCUGCCACACUUGAAGACAUAGAAAUCCGCAGCUGCCAUCUUCUGAGUAAAAGGUUAAAUCAGAAGUGAGACUAUUGGCCCCUAAUUGCCCAUAUUCCCCGCGUUGAGGUAGAUGGUGCUCGCAUCCAUGAAAUGAAAAGGGAAGAAGAAAAUCAUCUAUUUCACUUCAAUUGGCUUCGAAGAACUAUUGAUGAGUAGUAGUUUAUCAUAUUACUGGCACCAAAAAAUUGUGAAGCACUUAAAAUUUCUUGCUUGUUUCUUAGUG
rnacentral:misc_RNA from 1 species